GGGCAAAAAAUUAUAUUGCCUAGAAGUGUCAAUACUUUGAAUUGGUUGCUAAAGAUUUUACAAUUUUUUUUUAUAUUUUAGGUGGUGAUGACGGUGCAGACAUGUCAAUGGAUGCAGAUGCUUCAUUAGAGGAUUCUCAGUUGAUAGAUGAUGAUGGUCAGUCAAAAGAAGAACCUGAAUUAAAUAGUGGUGCAGGAGAAGCAUAUGUUCCUGAAGAACCAACUACAGAAGAUGAAUCACAAACAAAAGAAGAAGAGGAGGAGGAAUCAAAUGAUCUACAGGAUGAAGAAUGUGAAGGAGGAGGUGAUCAAGAAAUGAAAGAUGAGGAAUCAAAUGAUUUACAGGAUGAAGAAUGUGAAGGA
rnacentral:lncRNA from 1 species